UCCCUGGUGGCUCAGAGGUUAAAGCAUCUGCCUGCAAUGCAAGUAGACCCAGGUUCGAUUCCCGGGUUGGGAA
rnacentral:tRNA from 1 species